ACAUCCUUUUUUGCAUCAGUACCAUUCUGUUGUAGUUUAUCAUGAAAAUAUUAUACACGCUUUUAUUUCUUGGAAGUAUUCAGUUUUUAGAGUGUAGACCACAAUCAGGUAGAUCAAUCAGCAACUAUGAAUAUAAUCCGUGGGGCAACGCUCCAAAUGAAGAUCAAAAUUAUAAGUACAAUUACAAUAAAGGGACACUAAAUAAUGCUGAAGCUCAGCACACCGGAAUCGUGGACUCAACUGAAGUAACCAUAGUAAGAGCAUGUUGUGUUUAUGUGGACGAUUCGGGUGCAGUGAAAACAGUGUGUUACAAUGGUAAUCAAAAUGGUCAUCUUUACCCACCACCGCCAUACUCAAGUGAUAUGCCAACGUUUCCUUCAAUUGGAUCUGGAUUCGGUGGCGACAUUCCAUCGUUCGCUGCACCAGCAAAUUUAAUUGCUAGUUUAUCAGGAGGUGGAUUAGGAUAAUAUAAGUUUUUAUGCAAACCUAUCUGGUUUUAGUCGUUAUUGUCAGAUUUACAGUCCAAAAAUUUGUUUUUAAAUUAUGUGUUGCACGUUGCGGUAAUAUUUGAAAUUUUAAAAAUUUUGUCUGUAGUAACAAAAUUAAAAUAAAUCAGUAUAUAUAAUAGCCA